GUGAGACCCCAUCUCGACAAAGAAAAAAAAGAAAAAAGAAUGACUUUUCCCCAGCAUUUCUGACUGGUCUUCAAUCUGAGUAGAUUUGUUUCUGAUGUACAUCUUUCUGCCCCUGCACCAACCCCAGUCGCCAGUGGGCUGGGAUGUGCUGAGUGGCUACCUGCUGCAUAGUUUCCCUUGACCUCAAGACUUUCCCCACAAUGCAGUGGAUGCCUGAGUGGACAUUGGGGCUGCUGGGAUGGAAGAAGGGGCGCUGAAACCCGAGGAAGCAACCGGCAUCUGUGCAUUCCACACACCCUGCACCGUCACAUCUCCAUGCCUCCCCUUCUGCCACUUCCUGGAACCUACCAUCUGCUUCCACUAAUCAGAGCCCUGCUCAUGCUUCAAAGCCUUGCUCAUGGGCUUCCUCUACUGCUGUGCCUCUUCUGUUCUUCUGGAAAGAAAAGACCCUUGAGAUGGAAAGCCCUUUGAGAACAGAGACCCUGCCUGCAGCGUGUAUCCCUUUGUAUAAUUUACAAUGCCACAUCAUGCUGAAUGAGAGCUGAGAAGUGGAAUCGCCACUGUCAACCCAUCCAUGUUGUGGGAUGCCCACUCUUCCCCCAGGAUCACUCAAGACCCUGUGACUUGUGGUCACUGAUGAGUGGACCAAGUGAAGGGAACAGGCUUCUUUUUACUCCCAUCCUGCAAAAAGAGCACUGUGAAGCAGACCACAAACCCUAGGAAGGACUCACAGCAUAUGCCUUUGGAGACUGGGUCAUUAAAGCACUUGAUAGAACUUUUCAGGCUGUGGAGUGUGUGGGCUACUUCCUGAAGUUCUUAGUGAGUUCCUUUGAGAAAAAGACAAGCUUCUAUCAUCUGAAAGUUAAAAAAGAAGAAAAAUUUGUCUCUGAUAAAAGAAGUCCUUUCUCUUUUGGUAGCUGAGAGCCAGACAACACUGUCCUUUUCAGGGUUGGAAAAGGUGAGUUCUCUGUUAUGUGAUGAAGCUCAUUCCAGCAAAGACAGAGACACUGGAAACAGAACAGAAGAUACUACUAAAAUUGGGAAGGAGCUGGAGCCCGAUUUUGACUCCUCCAGGACAGAUGACAACUGGCAAAGUGCUCCUAUGUGGAAUACACAAACAACUCCAGCAAAUAAAUCAGUAAAUCAGAAAAGGACAGUCAGUUCAAUACAACAGUGAGAGGAAGAGAUUGACAGGGCAUUUCACAACAGAGGAGAUCUAGAUGACAAUCAACAGGAAAAGUGCUCAGCCUCACCUGUCAUCAGGGACAUGUCUGGAAACAGCAAGGAGAUCCCACUACACAUUCUAGGAGAACAGCUAAAAUCUAAAAAAACAACUGAUCAUAUCAGUGUUAAUGAAUAUGUGGAACUGUUGAACCCUCAUCCUCUGCUGGUGGGAGUAUAAAGAGGCCCACAUACUUUGGAAAACAGUGUGGCAUUAUCUAUUAAAGGCGAAUGUAUGCAUACCUUACUACAAAGCAAUU